rnacentral:lncRNA from 1 species
AUUUGAGCUGCUUUCUGAAUGUUGGAGAAGUGCCUGACUUGCCUGGCUCAGCAAGGAGUUGGAUGAUGGUGUUGUGAAGCUUGCAGCUGUCUAUGAAAAAGCUAACUAAUAGCAGAGAAGCGAAUCUUCCAUUUUGUUCUGCAGGAUUUAACAAGCACAGUCACCUCUGUAUGUGCUGAAAUCCGCAAAAGCGUGUUAAAAAUAAUGAAGAAAUACUUGGAUGAACCAAAAAGGCAUCACUGUACCACUCCCAGGAGCUAUUUGAAGUUCACAGGCACCUUUUCAAGACUGCUACAGAUAACAAGAAAGAAAACUCUGCGAACAGGUAAAAAACAAGCAACUGUGGAGCUAAAUUUGGUGAUGCCAGCUUCAGAAAAAUCCCUCAGUGCCCUAGAAACACUGGACAGAAUUCACUUUGCAGAACUCAGGUUUGUUCUUGUUCUGGUGAGAAACCAAUUUGGUUGAGUAUAGGAUUCAACCCUUCCAUUAGCAUCCGCUGCUCACAUGCAAUUAUUAGUGCACGUGAUUUAGCAGGAUGACUUCCUUGCCUCCUAUCGAAACCCGGCCUAUCAUCUAUGAAAUAGCAGUCGUUCAUUUUGGAGCAAUAGUAC